UCCGCACCCUCCCCCCUACCCGCCUGGGAGCGACAGCCGUAUCGACCAAUCAGAAACCUAGCGCCGUUAGGGCUAGCCCGAUUUAGGGGGCGUUCGCCGAAGGAAGAGGAACGAGGGAGGCUAGUACGGCGGCGCGACUUCUGUGACUGACAUCAUAGCGCAGCCAAUCGGUAACUGAGAGAUGACUUCAUCGCUGAAGGAAGUCUGGAACUGGCGGAGCGGCCGCCAAGAGGCCACCAUCCACUGGAUAAACUGAAGUAUGAUUGCCCCAGAGUCCAACGUGGAAAACCAGAACAUCUACAGUCAACAAGCCCAGUCUUGAGGGGCUCUUGCAAGAUAGCUGUGCUUUUGCAAGGACAGAGCUGCUGGACACAAGGAAAAAGAAAGAAGGUUCUGGAGAACAGAGUCCCCAGUGUGAGAGCAAGGGUUAACACUGUAGAAGCAGAAACCCUCAGGGGCAUCCUGACAGACAUGGGAAGCCACAGUGACUGGAAGGAGGUAACGCAUGUUACAUCUCUGAGUGAGUUACUCUGUAUGGCUUCCGUUCUCCCCCGGAAAUCUCCCAGACUUCUCAGUGGUGUGUGGCUCUGUUGGGAUAGGAGAAGGAGCUGCAACUCUCUCUAUCCACUGCAGUAAGCCAGCCCGGCCCUGAGUAAUUCCCAGUUAUUCAUCUGUAAGUCAGCUUCAAGUUCCGUACCAUGUGUCUCAUCACAGAACCUUGGAGGUAGCCCAGAUCCUGUGGCCUCUUAGUCACACCUUCCCUCCCAAGAUUAAAAAAAAAAAAGAAAAAAAAAAAACCACAAAAGCCCUAAUAAAAUUAUAUGUUCAAUAACUAUAUAUGCUAUAUAAAUAAAAACUUAAAAUGAAAUAA
ensembl:processed_transcript 4930483J18Rik RIKEN cDNA 4930483J18 gene